AAUCACGUGAUAACACAUGUGCUCUAGCUUUAGAACUUAUACAAAAUUGGGUGAAACAACAAAACCGCUCCUCUAUACUCUCCGAUAAUUAAAACCCUAGCCUUUCACUCAUUUCUCUCAUCAAUUCAUCUCUCCAAAAUCGCUAACCCAGUAACAAAUUAAACUGAAUGAUGCUCUUUGGUUUCAUAAUAUUUGGUAUUAUAAUUGUUUUCAGGUAUUAUCUCCUUUUUCUCUGGAUUUUGAUGUUAAGGGUUUUUGUUUUAAUGCUUUAUUCCGAUUUUGAUUUUUUUCUGAGAUAUUUUUCUUAAUAUAUCAUGGAGGAUGAAGAGAUUUUGAAGUCUCUUUACAAAAAACAUAUAUAAUCGGAUGUUCACACACUGACCCAAAAUGUCGUUGAGCUCAUCCUUGCCUUUACUUCCGAGUAAUUUCUUGCAUCUAACUUACUUCUUGUAUAUUAGUUGAGUUAUACUUUAGUUGAAUUCUGUUCAUUUUGGUUUAAGUUUGUUUGUUUUUUUGAAUUAAGAAUUUUGUUGUUAAUUGAAUUUAUAAAAUUUAGACCUAGAAACCAUGCACAUGGUGCGGUGGUGCCUAUGGUGUCAAGUUUUGUCUUCUAAUAAAGGUCUUACCUGCACAUUUUAUGAGUGUACUAGGAAAUAAAUAUGUUGUGCACAAUAUUUGGUCAUUAUCUGAGUUGCAACAUUUCUAAUCUACAGAUCUGCUAGUUGGCUACUUAAUUCGUUCCAUUUUUAAGGUUUGCUAAGUGAAUGCUUUCUGACAGAUGCAAGUAUAGAAUGGUCUACCAAGCUGCAAUUUGGUAUGGACUUAUUGUCCACUUUUGAUAUCCUACUUUGUAUUAUAUAUGAACUUCCCAUAAUGUUAUUUCUUGAUCCACAUCCAAUCUGGUCAGAAGCCCCAUGCUUGUGAACUGGAGCUCUCAUCAAGAAAAAUCACUUCAAUGCUUAAAUGAUACAGACCCAAAGUCUUCGUGGACUGUGCUUGUGAGCUUUAUUCAGGCACUAGGAUCCUGUUUGGAUUGAUAUCAGGUGUUGUCUUCCUUGGUUUUACUGGUCUCUUAUAUUAUUUAUACGGGUGGGAAUUUAUGUACGAGGCACUUCUUUACCAUCUUACACUAACUCAUCUUAGGCACAAUUUCUCCAUAUAUCUCUACCACAUUUAAGUUCAUUAUGAGCAUGAGUUCUCAAUACAAGAAAAGCAAGUCUCUUUCUUGCCACAGUUUUCAGUUUAGCUGGUUCUUAUAUUCAAAUAUGUCAUGGAUCUUCCCUUCUGCUUUCUUGGGCAGAAAGUGGCAUUUGUAAGCAUUUAAUAAGCUAUAUUUCCAGGGAGAGGUAUUGCUGAAGUAUUCUGUUUUUUAUAUUGCCUUGAUUUAUUGAUAGUUUUUAUAUUUUCGUUCUUAUUCGGACUAUAUUGUUAUCAUGUGGCAUCGGCUAGAAUGGGUGUGAAAAUGGCAAAGCAUCUGGGACAUGAGAGAAUUGUGCUAUUUAAAGAUUUCAAUUAGUGAUUCCGAAUUUGUUCCACUACAACUAGUCAUGAAUAAAGCACAAGUUGAAAUUGUACUUGUUGUAAUAGAAAACCCAUUACUAUGAGAUAUUGUACAUAUGCUAUAAUGUAUUUAUAUAUGUAAUAA